rnacentral:rRNA from 1 species
UUGAAGAGUUUGAUCAUGGCUCAGAUUGAACGCUGGCGGCAGGCCUAACACAUGCAAGUCGAACGGUAACAGGAAGCAGCUUGCUGUUUCGCUGACGAGUGGCGGACGGGUGAGUAAUGUCUGGGAAACUGCCUGAUGGAGGGGGAUAACUACUGGAAACGGUAGCUAAUACCGCAUAACGUCGCAAGACCAAAGAGGGGGACCUUCGGGCCUCUUGCCAUCGGAUGUGCCCAGAUGGGAUUAGCUUGUUGGUGGGGUAACGGCUCACCAAGGCGACGAUCCCUAGCUGGUCUGAGAGGAUGACCAGCCACACUGGAACUGAGACACGGUCCAGACUCCUACGGGAGGCAGCAGUGGGGAAUAUUGCACAAUGGGCGCAAGCCUGAUGCAGCCAUGCCGCGUGUAUGAAGAAGGCCUUCGGGUUGUAAAGUACUUUCAGCGGGGAGGAAGGGAGUAAAGUUAAUACCUUUGCUCAUUGACGUUACCCGCAGAAGAAGCACCGGCUAACUCCGUGCCAGCAGCCGCGGUAAUACGGAGGGUGCAAGCGUUAAUCGGAAUUACUGGGCGUAAAGCGCACGCAGGCGGUUUGUUAAGUCAGAUGUGAAAUCCCCGGGCUCAACCUGGGAACUGCAUCUGAUACUGGCAAGCUUGAGUCUCGUAGAGGGGGGUAGAAUUCCAGGUGUAGCGGUGAAAUGCGUAGAGAUCUGGAGGAAUACCGGUGGCGAAGGCGGCCCCCUGGACGAAGACUGACGCUCAGGUGCGAAAGCGUGGGGAGCAAACAGGAUUAGAUACCCUGGUAGUCCACGCCGUAAACGAUGUCGACUUGGAGGUUGUGCCCUUGAGGCGUGGCUUCCGGAGCUAACGCGUUAAGUCGACCGCCUGGGGAGUACGGCCGCAAGGUUAAAACUCAAAUGAAUUGACGGGGGCCCGCACAAGCGGUGGAGCAUGUGGUUUAAUUCGAUGCAACGCGAAGAACCUUACCUGGUCUUGACAUCCACAGAACUUUCCAGAGAUGGAUUGGUGCCUUCGGGAACUGUGAGACAGGUGCUGCAUGGCUGUCGUCAGCUCGUGUUGUGAAAUGUUGGGUUAAGUCCCGCAACGAGCGCAACCCUUAUCCUUUGUUGCCAGCGGUCCGGCCGGGAACUCAAAGGAGACUGCCAGUGAUAAACUGGAGGAAGGUGGGGAUGACGUCAAGUCAUCAUGGCCCUUACGACCAGGGCUACACACGUGCUACAAUGGCGCAUACAAAGAGAAGCGACCUCGCGAGAGCAAGCGGACCUCAUAAAGUGCGUCGUAGUCCGGAUUGGAGUCUGCAACUCGACUCCAUGAAGUCGGAAUCGCUAGUAAUCGUGGAUCAGAAUGCCACGGUGAAUACGUUCCCGGGCCUUGUACACACCGCCCGUCACACCAUGGGAGUGGGUUGCAAAAGAAGUAGGUAGCUUAACCUUCGGGAGGGCGCUUACCACUUUGUGAUUCAUGACUGGGGUGAAGUCGUAACAAGGUAACCGUAGGGGAACCUGCGGUUGGAUCACCUCCUU